AGCAGUUGCAACAUCCACAGAGCUCCUGUCAAGGUCAAAGUUGGAAAUCUUGCCAGGAGGAGUGAAAGCUACUGAGCUGACACAAGACGCUUCAUGAGGAGUACCCUUCCUAAGCCAGGCCAAGAUGUGAUAAGCACUUUCUUAGCAUACUAAUGAGGGGGUUCAGACAAAACUCAAGACACGGAAGGAAGGAAGGAAGGAAGGAAGGAAGGAAGGAAGGAAGGAGAGCAGUUUUCUGGAUCAGUUCCCUCUGCAGCUUUUCCUCGCUAAAAAUGUCCAAUUUACAGUCAUAUUUUUGAAAAUUGUAAUUUACACGACAUCGUGCGGCCUCCCUGUUUCCUUUCAGCAUGGCUGUCUUCCUUUUUUGUCUGAUAAAUGUGCCACAGCAUGGGGGUCCCCCCACCAUGGAUUCUUCAGUUGGCAGACACCGGAGCUGGAGGCUAGGAGGAGCCAAAGAUGGUACCCAGGAUGGGUGCAUGAACACUGUGGUCAGGGAUCUGCAGGAGGUGCAUUUUGCUGAAUAGAAAGAGUGGGGAGCCCGUCGGCUUGACACAAAACGCAGGUGUCGCUUGGAGAGGGGGGUUGGAAACCAGGCACUCUCUCACGCCACUGUACAAAGCAAUGCAGUAAGCGAUUCCGAUAUUGCAGUAGGCAGCUUCUCAUCCUUAGUUAGCAGCAACUGGGAAAGCCUUUGCAAAGCAAGCGAGCGAGCGAGAGACAGAGACACAGAGGCAGUUUCCAGACCCAGACGGCUGUCAGAGCACAAGGGAAUUUCCCAUUGGUCCUUUGGGGUUUUGGGAAUCAGCCGAAGGAAUUUCACCUCUAUGCAAGGAUGCUCAAAGACUCUGCCUCUCAGCUACGCAGCGCAGGGGAGGGAUUGCUGCCGCGUACUCCUGGACUGGACAAGUUCUGAUAGGGGGCCCUAUCUUUCACCUGUCGGCCUGACCCAGGGCAUAUGAGAAAGAAGCUUUCUUUAAAGAACAGGAGCCUACCCUGUACCACUGGUGUAAAAUGAUGGUAGCAGUAGAAAGACACCCGGUUGUGGAGAGACGUAAGCCAUGGAUGGACCGACCCCCGAACCCCCCAAUGUCGAUUUGGACAAAGGAUUAACGCUGGCAUGCUUCGUCUUCCUCUGCCUCUUCUUGAUUGUCAUGAUCAUCCGUUGCGCCAGAGUCAUCAUGGACCCUUACAGCGCCAUCCCCACGUCCACGUGGGAGGAGCAACACCUGGAUGAUUGACAGGCGGUUGAGAAAGAGGCGGGCAACCGGGCCAAGCAAGGGAGAAUGAGCAUGGACCGGCCUGUUGCUCCGUUUGGAUGACACCGCUUUUUCAAGAAGCAUACGGCCACAUCAGUUCCUCGGAGAGCACAGUUUCUUGGUCUUAUCAGCUGGGAUGCGCCCUUGCGUCCCUCAUUCUCCAGCCCUAUUUCUAUGGAAUGACCUCCAGGUUUUAACGAGGAAAUAAUAAUAAUGAUGAUGAUCGUAAGCAAAGUAGCACAAAAGCUCUCUAGGCACUAAAUCCUCAGCUGAGCUUUUUCUAGUGGAAUCUCUCUUAAGCACCUAUUCCCUCCAUUUAAAUCAACAUCUGUGAUUUGGAAUGGCACACAGACCUUGUUCAACAUAGACCAUGAACACUCAGGCGUAGAUAUCAGGGUAUGAGGGUUCAAGAUUUUCUUGUUGACCAAAGUGGGAGAGGGAGGGAGUUAUUUCAGAAUCGAUUAGCAAUAAAAAAGGCUUUUGGGGUGGGUGGGUUUCUCCC
rnacentral:lncRNA from 1 species